rnacentral:rRNA from 1 species
AUACGGAGGGUGCGAGCGUUAAUCGGAAUUACUGGGCGUAAAGCGCGCGUAGGCGGUUUGUUAAGUCGGAUGUGAAAUCCCCGGGCUCAACCUGGGACCUGCAUCCGAUACUGGCAGGCUAGAGUCUGGGAGAGGGGGGUAGAAUUCCUGGUGUAGCGGUGAAAUGCGUAGAUAUCAGGAGGAAUACCAGUGGCGAAGGCGGCCCCCUGGACUGAGACUGACGCUGAGGUGCGAAAGCGUGGGGAGCAAACAGGAUUAGAUACCCUAGUAGUCC